CCUACGGGGUGCAGCAGUGGGGGAUAUUGCACAAUGGGGGGAACCCUGAUGCAGCGACGCCGCGUGGGUGAAGGAGCGUUUCGGCGCGUAAAGCCCUAUCGGCAGGGAAGUAGAUGACGGUACGUGACCAAGAAGCCCCGGCUAACUACGUGCCAGCAGCCGCGGUAAUACGUAGGGGGCAAGCGUUAUCCGGAUUUACUGGGUGUAAUGGGGGCGCAGACGGCAGUGCAAGCCAGGAGUGAAAGCCCGGGGCCCAACCCCAGGACUGCUCUUGGUACUGUAUGGCUUGAGUACAGGAGGGGCAGGCGGAAUUCCUGGUGUAGCGGUGAAAUGCGUAGAUAUUAGGAGGAACACCGGUGGCGAAGGCAGCCUGCUGGACUGUGACUGACGUUGAGGCCCGAAGGCGUGGGGAGCAAACAGGAUUAGAUACCCGAGUAGUC
rnacentral:rRNA from 1 species